UAAAAACUCAACUUGAAAAUAACUCCUAUUCACAGGUGUUGGGGGUUUAUUUCUGUGCAAAUGGGAAAGGAAACGAGCACCAAGCAACAAACCAUGACCUGCAGAAGGAAGUCCAACCCAAAAUUCUACUGCAGAACAAUUGUCUAUUGUGAGCUAGAAUACUUGAAAUGAACUCUGUGAAUCAGAAGUUAUUAAAUAGCUUUUCAAGCCCUGAGAGAAAGCUGUUGUCACUGCUUUUCAACAUGUCAUUGAGCAAGAGAGAGAGACCAAACAGCUGAUUCUCCCACAUGGACAGCAGAGUGACAUAUAAAUGGAAUAAACGGAUGAGUAAUCCUGAAGUUGCACCUAUCUAAGGUUCUCCGAUUCUAUGGCCUGAACCCUCUUCUCUAGUCACCAGAGUGAGACACUGUUUUGAAAACUAGUGUCAAAAAGAAUACUUCUAAAUUUUCCAGUUACUUUGUCAUCACCAACAUCACCAUAAAAUAUUUCACAAUUCUCCUCUUGGUUCUUUCGCAGGAAAUCAAAAUCUUCAGGUACUGUAACUGUUUUACAGAAUGGAUUUCAAGUGCUUUGCCUAUGUUUGCUUUAAUUCAGAAGGAAGAGGAGCAAAAAAAAAUGCUGUAUGUGGUUUUCCCAGCUUUUAAAAAAAAAGAGUCAGGUCAUGUAGUUUUGCAUAACAUCAAUGGAAUAGAAGAGGCAGAUACGAUUCAAUGCAGCGGGCCCUUGAUAUCUGCUGGAGUUUGGUUCUAGGAUCUCCCAUGGAUACCAAAAUCCAUGGAUGCUCAAGUCCCAUUAUAUACAAUGGCCUAGGAAUAUGGUGUCUAAUGUGAAAAUUAAGGUUUGAUUUUGGGAUUUGAAAGUCUUGGAUGACUGCAUCUGUGAAUCCACUGUAUAUCCUCUUACCCACACCAAACUUUAUUAGUACUACUAGUGAUAAAACUGAUCAUGCACCAGCUUUUGAGCUGGACUUGGAAAGGGAAAUGCAUUUUUAUCACUUAAAAAAAAACCCUUUAGAGGGGGUGGCAUCAUUAGGACAGGACAUUAAAUAUCCUUGAAAAAUAGACCAGUUUUCUGAUUUACAUUGUUUUUCCAAUGUGGUGGUGAGGAACUUGAGACUAAAAGGAAUAGUGACAUCCGGAAAUUCACCUUGUGAACUGUUCUUAA